rnacentral:lncRNA from 1 species
GAGCAUCUGCUGGCCUUCUGGGUACCAACAACAAUGAGGCAGAUGAUGAGCUAAUGUUGCCAGAUGGCACAGAAGCUGCCAGCCUGGAGGAGCUCACCCAGGGCUGGCAGGUGGAUGAGAACUGUGGUCCUGUAGAGAGGGUACAGCAGCCAUGCUCAGGGCCCAGCAGCACCUGCCAGGCCUUCUUCCAAGACCCCCAGUCCAGCCUGGGGAACUGCUUCCUGGUGGUGAGUGCUAGGCUGGGCCUGGCCGGAGGCCACUCAGCAGAGAAACCACAGGGUAAAAGAAGCCUGGUCUAGCCAGUGCCCUUCCAAAAGCGCAGUAGGCAAGUGCAGUGAUGGGCUGGCAUUGGUUUCAGGUGGACCCUGCUCCAUUUCUCAGACUGUGUGUCCAAGAUACCUGUGACCCUAAGGAGCUCCACCCUGCCUGCCUCCUGGCAGCUGCCUACAUCGACUUGUGUGCCCAGGACUCUGUGCCCUUGGCUCUUCCUCUGCAGUGUGUUUGAGAUUUUGCCCAAGGCAAUACAAGGCUGCCAAAGACGUCAAGCUCUUCACCUUCUACCCCAAUCCUAGUUCCUGGGCGAGGUCAAAGUUCUUUGCUGGAAGAGAACCCGUGCAGAAGGCUAGAAAACCCAAGAGAAAAACAACAGUUGCUGCCAAGAGCAGAGAGGAAGGGCUGAGAACCAGCUGCACUCUCCCAGUGUCUCCAGGGCUGAGGGACUCCCAGCUGGCCCAGGGAAUUCAUUCUCAAACUUCACUGGGAGGCAGCCAGGCCCAGGGACACACCUCUGGGAAGACACUCCACACCGCACCCACACUUGCGCAAACUGCUGCUUCACUCACCCAGCAACUGUUUCUGAGCCUUGAGAUGGCUGUGACCACGUGGUUUCCCCUGUCACUCUGGGAGGAACCAAUGUCCUCAAGACUGCUUAGGGAGCUUCCUUCUCCAGAUGGACACACAGGGUGCUUCUAGGGCAUGGGGAGAAGGCUCCUUUUCAAAGGACAUGUGACAUAAAUAUGUGGGGGCCUUGGGCCACUAGACAGCAGGGUUUCUUUUUUUGUUGUUGUUUCUCUUAGGAAAUAGGCUUUUCAAUUGCAAAAUAAAGCUGGAGAAUUCAUGAGUGUCUGUGGGAUU